GCAGGAGCCUAUCGGCUUCCCGGACGAGGUGCGUCGUACCCGGUCAGCGACAAGACGACGCAUU
rnacentral:ncRNA from 1 species